CCUGAGAUGGCGAGGCAGGGUUUGAAUCUCCGGUGCGGAGCAUCACCCACUGAACAUUUCUCCUGGGCUCCGUCCCUUCUGGGUCUGGACAGGAGUCUCCUCUGGGUUCUUGAUGUCCUGAGUGAAGAAGUGAGAGGACACUCAAAAGGAGCAGCACGAUUAGAGACCUGCCGCGUGGGCAAGCACAGUCUGUGGGAUGGGAGCAAGCCAGUGAGAGUCUCCUGGAGGCUAGCGGGUCGGUCCAGAGCUUUGGGGGGACAUCCAGACACAAGCCGUAACGUGAAUUAGAAAAGCCCCACUUUGAUACCACCAUGGACCCCAAGGUUCAAAUGAAGCCUUCAUGAAAACCUCAGGACCAAAGCAGACAGGGCCACCCUGAGUCAGGCUCACUUUUGGACUCAGGUAUUGGCUCUUUCCUGCUCUGCAGAGAGUUCUUUCACUUUAAGAAACCUGUGCUUUUCUUGCUACUUCUGUCGGAUAUCCAGUGGGACAGAGACUACCUAUCCAGUCAAAGUCAAACCCUCAUCUCAGGGAAGAGGGGAACCCAGGCCUGUGGGACCGAGAGGGGGCCCGACAUUGUCCUGCAGGGAUUUGGGAUGAGGCCAUUGAUAUCACGGCCAGGACUUUCUCACACCUUGGCUAUCGAUGUACACAUUUUACCUCGACAAUAACAAGAAGCAAGUAGGGGAAUGCAGUUAUUAAAUACAUGCAGAAAAAGUGAUUGUGCAGCAGCAACAUUCUACAAGGAAUCCAGGGAGAAAAUAAGCCAACGUUUGAACUGGCUUAUACAAGCAGCCUGGUUCACACAAGGUCACAAGGAAAACCGAACCCAUCUGCACAGACGAGCUGAUGAAAGUGGAGCCUGGAGUAGACUGCUCCCUAGAGCUGAGGUAGGGAUACCUGAGGACUUAACUCUGACCCCAAGCCUGUGUGGAAACUUCCUUCCUUCAGUGCCCUGAGAGUCACAUGAGGGACAUUGUCUCCUGGAGUUAGUAGAGCAAACAUCUCAAAUCACAUUGUUCUAACUGGUGCUUGCUGUGUUCUUCCAUAAAGUACAAGAGGAAAAUGCCAAGAGAGUUCGUAUGGACUUUAAAACUGGCAAAUUAUUAAUACCUUUGAGAAGAAAAAGAUGGCAGCACGCUCUUGUGAGGUGACUUGGCAAGGUCAGAGGAAACAACUAGUCAAGUGAAGUCUCCGCGUUCUAACCUCCACAGGCUCCCCUGACCGUCACAGUUCACAGUUGCCUGGGAAUCAAAAUGUCUCCUGCCAUCACAGUCGUGCCAAGGCAGUCACACAAGGCCCUGGUGUGGCGGAAUCCUAAACCCUGUGUAAAGAGCAUCCCUUUAGAGUGCUGCAAGUCUCCCCGGGAUGUACCCAUCUGAGAGUCUCAGAUCUCCCGAUUUAAACGGUUCAUUUAAAAUCCUUCUCAGGAUAGAUUAUGAGAUCGUGGGUGAGGACCAGCUCCGUGUCACUUGCUUCUGUUCCCCCUAACGUAUCGCGUCACCUGCUCAUUCAGGGCCCACGGAAUAUUCUCCACUGACCAUCAGCUGCGGUAACGCUGGGGGGAGGGUUCCCAGCGCAGCCCGGAGAAAUCCACACCCCAGUGAAGAUGUGCAGGUGUUCAGGUCCUUCUGACAAAAGGGACCUGCCUUGUCUUCAUCUCUCUGGAAAAAGCUCAGAGGAGGGUUUUGGAAGAUUUCAUUGUGUGUGGAAUAACAAGUGAGAACAAAACUAUUCAAAUUUGCUUUUACUCUUUUAUGACUUAAUACAUUGUUAAGGAAGCAAUAAAACCAAUGGUACAGCGAUAUUUCCAUGAUUCUGAAACAGUGAAAAAAAAAAAAAAAGACUGCACAUAGCAGUAUGGUUAACAAAAAAAGUAAGAAGACCUGCUGGGUAGGUGACGUUUGAGAUGGGACCUUAGUUAUAUAUUAAUUUAAAAGGGCAGGGCCUAAGAUUUAAAGAGUGUGGCAGCAUAGGAAUUACAGGAAAUCUGUCAUUCCACCUGGACAACAAUUUUGCUGGUAGAGUCUGAUAUAGGUAUAUGAGGGUUCAAGUUUCUGAUGGCCUUCCAUUUCCAGAGAAAGGUUUAAAUAGCAAAUUAAACCUAAUUUUCGUAAAUUCCAAAUAGUCACAAUUUCCCACCCGCGUUCCCAGUUGCAUCGAAGACACCAACAAAUGACCUCCAGGAACAGCUUGCCGGUAGCUGAUGGAUUCAGGUUAGGCAGAAAGAACCGUGUCAUGCUGAGCCUGCUGGCCCGUGCCCGCAAUCUCAGCUGCUCGCCUGCUCAUUCAGCUGUGGCAUUCAGGAAGCUGAGGCAUGAGAAUUAUGAGUUUGAAGCCUGUCUGGGCAAUUUAGGGAGACCUGGUCUCAAAUAAGAGGGGCUGGUGGUACAGCUCAGUGGUGGAGCCCUUGCUGCACUACACCCUAGAUACAGUCCUCAGAGACACACACACACAUGCCCUGUCCUGCAGGAUGGUAAGCUGUACUCCUAAUUGUUACCAAUGAGGAGUUCUUAUUUGCUGCUCCUCUUCCCAUUGGUAGAAAUCCUGUGCUUUCCACCUAUGUGAUUUUCAGAGAAAUGAACAUGCUGGUCACUUUCAGUUUAUUCUUUCAUUCUCAUUACCACCCAGUAUUACUGAGGUUUGAAUCCAGGGUGCUCUGAGUUACAUCCCAACCUCUCCCUAUUUUAUUUUGAAAUAGAAGCUCACUAAGUCACUCAUGCUGGCCUUAAGCAACCUUCUCCGGCCUCCCAAGUAGGUACUAAGCAUGGGGCACCCACUUUCAUUUUUCUGUUUCUCUUUUUGGGAUUCAGACACAAGGACUAGUAAAUGUAAAACUACCCGCAUACAUUGGGGAAAUUAGGAAGUUAGCUCACAUGUCCAGAGCAAGGCACAGCUAAGAAUGUUCCUAGGUACAGAGAUGCUCCAUGACAAUAAAGAAUUGAAUAAAAGCCUUACAAGUAAAUUAGAUACAGUGGCACACACUUGCAGUUCAGCUACUUGGGAGGCUGAGGCAGGUGGAUAACAAGGUCUUGCAGUGUCCGUGUCAACAGACGUGUAAGCCCCUCAUCUUGAAGUCACUUAUAUAAUGUAAUAACACCUGCACAUACAAUGUAUUGUAACCUUGACGUGUACUUAAUAUUAAAAUUAUUGUUGGAAUAUUACACAGUCAUGUUUUCAUACAAAAUUUUGAAACUUUGAACUAGCUAGCUUUCAAAUGCUCAGUUGACACAGGAAAGCAUCUAAUAAUUUGGUGACUUAUGCUUCCUUUAAAAUUGAGUGCCUUUAUUUUUUGUUUUAAGUUUAUAAUAGUUAAGGUGAAAUGUAGUUCCACUUUUCCCUCUUCUCAUCUCCUUCAUCUGCUUCAAAUUUGCCUAUCACAAUUCAGGAGCCAAUAUUGACGUAUGGGCGUUACAGACCAAGUUUAUCGUAGCUUUCACUAUUUGUGCUGAACAUUGUUUAGAUUUUGGCAAAUACAAAAUGUAUUCAGUCGUUGCAGAAUGAUAGGUAAUCGCUUCUCCUGCUUUGAAGACUCCACAGUCCUGCAGUAAGGUCUGCCCAUAUGACCCCCGCUCACAGUAUCUAGUGUGGAAAAUAUAAACGUGUAUUCCAGUUUUAUUCACUGAAUCUAGGUAAACAGAAUAACUUACUACAUAGCCCUGUACUGUCGUACGAGUAUGAGAAGGGGUCGAGGCUGUAGGUGUAGACACGGGUCGCCACAACCUGUUAAACAGAGGGGUCUGCGUGCUUGGAAGAACUGACAGUGGGAAGAGGGUUAAAGUUCAGAGCUCAGGAAUGCGAUGUAUUUCUGUACGGACCCAGGGUAGCUAGUUGGGAAUUUCCGGACUCAGUGGAAGUGCAGGUUCCCCGGGGACGGCGAGCGGAGGGGGCUGGGAGACAGCUCACAGCCGCAGGGUGCAGACAGCCACGGCACUGCAGGGACUGGGCUGUGGCUGCAGUGAGCCCUGCCUUUGUAAGGCUGCCAAUCCCUGCCUUGAGCGUUUGAGGACAGGGUGCUCACUGCCCACACCUGAACAUGGGCAGUCCCUGCUGAUUCAGAACUCCCAGCGCUGACUCGCCCGGUGCAGUCCCCUUGUGUCAUCCCCAAUGCCAGUGGCCUGUUGCCCUUGGCUCGAGACAAAACCUUCAGAAGAUGAGGCUUCUGGAAGCUCGUUAUACUUGGACUUGGAUAGAAUAAUGGUGCCUGGAGGUGCCGAAGUUGAACUUCGAUCAUUUCCUAACUUUUGUUUUUCGCUUGGACACCGGCUCCCAGGUGCAGAGCUGUGCAGGAAAUGGAGAAUUCCUCCAGGGGCAUGGAGCAGGCCAAACUCAAAGGAGUCAGUCACGAAAGCCUCCGUCCCUGUCCAACCGUAAUGCACACUCAGGGUGAGCUGAGUGCAUUUGCCUGGCUGCCGCUGCAAGUGCCCCUUCUCUCAGACCACCAGCUUUGCGUACAUUUCUAGGGUGUUCCCCUUGAUUGCCAUCAUCUUCUCCCUGCAGCUUCUGCUUCUAGUUUGUUCUGUAGCUAGCAAAGACUGCCUUCUCAGAAGGAGCACCAGGGUGUGGGAGGAUGGAGCUGUGAUGAUCUGGGGUCUUUUUCCCUUUUUUUCCCUGUACAUAUCACUGGCACUCGUAACGUGAAGCCUGCCAAGGACUUCGCUGUCAUGCAGAGUCUUUUUCAUUUAUUCAUUUUCUGCUUUAUUAUCAGGGUUGAUCAUUCUGAAGCUGUCUGUGUGCAGAAAGCACAAUGCCCUCUGGUUCCCUAUCCUGUCCUCACCGUGCACACCUCCAUAGAUCUGUGCACAGUUUAUUGUAGGUAUCACAGAAACAAUGACUGCCGAUGAUUUUUGUCAGAUGGGAGGAUUGCAAGUGUUGUCUUGGAAGCUGCCCACAUUUGGGAGCUGAGCUUUCAGGGUUAAGAAUGGAGGCAUCUUUGUAACAUAGAAAAUCUCUGUGUUCACCUCAUAUUCCUUCCUGUGUACUUGUUGUUUGCUUAUCAUUUUUGUUUCUAGAUAGUUUCCUGCCUUGUUCUGUUGCAUAGGUUGGCAGCGAUGUCUUGGGCUCUAGCAGUCAUCUUACCUCACUCAGUCUCCCAGUAUGCUGUCCACGCAAGAUGUGUCCCUACACCUGGCACGCCCUUCUCCCCAUAGUUGCCCAGAACGUUUCAUGCUGUUUGUGUAGUGUACAGACUAAUUCUGAUGGUUGCUGCUGACUCUUGUUUCUUAGCCAGAGGUCUGCAGGAUUGAAUGGUUGAGGUCAGGGAUCUUUUGAAACGUGCCAAAGAAAAACUUCCUCAUGGCACUUUUUGCACAUGAAGAACGGUUGUGUCUAAUCAGGGCACAGCCCUCAUUAUAGGGAUCACUGCAAUGAGGGUUGGCCCUGGGAAGUGGGAAUGAGGUGGAUUAUGAGCUCCUUGAGAUGGUGGGAGUUUGCAACCGAAGAGCAGGACAGCAGUCCUGGACGGGGCAUUACUGCGGGGGCAACAUCAGGUUAAAGAGGGAUUCUAGUUCGAGACAGCAUAGAGUGAUCGGACUCCAGCUGGGCAGGAGAAAGGACGAGGAACUGCUCGGAUAUGAAAUGCGAGCAGAUUUCCAGGAUAUUUCAGUGACUCCAAAGGGAGACUUUAUUUUUGUUCUUCAGAGGAGAGAAGCUGUCUCCUCUUUUACUUUUAAAGCAAAACAUUUAUUGGCACAUUUCAGAUUUACAUAAUGACAACAUUCGUCAUAGGGAAUUUGUGCCUGAACGUGAUAUAUCUUGCUUCCUACUGUUUUUCUCAUCCC